AAUCCCAACUGUCCUGGAAUGCUGCUGCCAUUCACCUGAUUCCUCUCCCUAACCUGCUAAUGUGUCCAAUGCAUUACACUCAGACAAUACAGGCAUGGAAUAUCAUCGUCAUCCUGAAGCUCCCUGCGGCACCUGGCUGGCUAAUGCCAUUAGCCAGACUGCUAUGAGAGAUGGACCACUGGUUUAGCCAACAUGGCAGUUCUUGUGGCUAGCUCUGCGCUCAUAAGCUAUAUGCUGUCAAACUCUGACUGCUUUGGAUGGAGUUCUGGUCUGUUGUAGCUUGUUUUUAAUGGCUCAGCAAUGCAAACUGGAGGAGAAACUCAAAGGGACCUAUGGAGGAAGGAGGUGUGUUGUGGGAGAAAGAAGAAGGAAGGCUCACCGGGUUUUGAAGUCGUCGAAGGAGAUAGUUCAGCAAGAAGGAUUUGCCACGCCGUUGCUCCCCAAGGAUGGAGAUCAAGCAGACAGGAGCGUCCUUCACCUGCCCCUGCUCCAGGCAACGGCUCAGGGCCUCCUCAUCCAGACAAAGAUCACCAUUCUCAUCUAAACCCACCAGCUGCACCGGCUGUCCCGACUGCAGUUGAUCUGUUGCUGCCUCCUGCAAAAGAUGGGACCCAGCUGGGUCAGACCAAGCUUACUGUUGCCUAGUCAGAAUCCACGGCCCCGUACAAGCAGUACACCUGGAGAAUAUUUACCAAUGAGAGAUGCAAAGGAUUGGAUUUAGGAAUGAUGAAGAGGGGAACUGCUGAACAGAGGCAAGGCUAUUCUGUUAUAUGAAAGAAUGGGAGCAACUAAGGGAAAAAAUAGGAAUUUUCCCAUUGGGAUCUGACUGAAUAAGUCUGUUUGGAGUUCAAGAACAUUGUUUCAGCACUUCACAGUCCCAGUCUUAAUUUGAGCCAAGGACAGUUUAGAGGUCAGCCACAAGAACCUACUUUCAGAACCAGCAUGCCAAGUAAUAAUAAUAAAAUAAUAAAAGUUAAAUAAUAAAAAAUAAUUAAUUAAUAAUAAUAAAAUAAAAAUAAUAAAAUUUUUGGGUGGUAUCCAAAGAAAGUUAACCAUGGCAAUUCAAGGGACAAGUUAAUUAUAAAUAACUUGUCUCAUUGACUUCAAUGGUGUUUAGCUGACUUCCUUGGGACAUAAUUAUAAUUUUUUAUUUUUUUUACGUUUCUGAGGAUUGAAUUAUUUUAAAAAUGUGUUUCUGAGCAUUCACAGAGUGAGCCUCCCACAACACAGAGCCACAGUCCACCUGCCUAAUUCCACACCCUCGAGAUUAGGGGGCACAGCUUCCAAAACAAAUGGCUGACUGUGCUAUGUGGGACCACAGCAAAGCUGGACAUAUGGGAGGGAGGACCUGCCUUCCCCUAAAACCAUAUUCUGCAUUUCAAUUUUUUGCAUUUCUCAUCCCUCUUAUUCGAAGUGGGUGGGUUUUGUUUGUUUGUCAUUUCUCAUCUCUGACAUUCUGUCAGUCCUUCAUGAACUAUAAUACAAUUGAUUUGAAAGUGG